rnacentral:rRNA from 1 species
GACGGAGGAUGCAAGUGUUAUCCGGAAUCACUGGGCGUAAAGCGUCUGUAGGUGGUUAUAAGUACGCAACUGUUAAAUCUUGAGGCUCAACUUCAAAAUCGCAGUCGAAACUAUUAGACUAGAGUAUAGUAGGGGUAAAGGGAAUUUCCAGUGGAGCGGUGAAAUGCGUAGAGAUUGGAAAGAACACCAAUGGCGAAAGCACUUUACUGGCUAUCACUGACACUGAGAGACGAAAGCUAGGGUAGCAAAUGGG